GCUGUCUGCGAUUCGGGCAGUAUGAGAACCUGCAGCAGGUUCGAGUCGAACGUAGUGAGACAGCGUUGCCGAAGGCAACGACCCGGAGGGCGAGGCGAAGCCGAGUCAUCCUGCACGACCCACCA
rnacentral:sRNA from 1 species